rnacentral:misc_RNA from 1 species
GUUUUUGUUUUGAGAUUUACUUCUGCAAUUAUAUACAAUAAUAUUUUUGGGCCUCUGUACUUUAAGUGAAGUCAAUGAACAGAUAUUUCCUGAAUUCAAAAUGCCUUGAUCUUUUGACAAUUCAAGUUCAGGCAGUGGAAUCAUUUUGUUAUUGAUUCUGCUCUAUCUAUGGCUCAUAAAAGGCCAUAAGGUCAGCCUUAGCCUUUAUUUUGCAUACAUGUUUGUUUUGUUGUUGAGUUUUCAGCUGGAACUUAUAUAAUUCCUUGCAUGGGUAGCAUGGCCGUUAAGAGAUGAUGAUUGAUUUUGUUGUGAUAUUAUGCUAGUGUGCAUUACAGAGAGAUAAUAAGAACCAUUGAAUUGCCUGUUUUUAUGACAAGAGACAUAGGACUUAUUGGGUUUUCAAUUUCAUGCAGUUUUUGGAACCUCUUGAAC